rnacentral:lncRNA from 1 species
ACAGGUAUUAUCCUUAAGAAUGAUCAAUCAACCAAGCAGAGAUGCAAUCAGAAAUUCAGAGAACUAUUCCUCACCAGGGAAAGUGUGUCACUCAAGCACUCAAAAAUAUAUCACUCAAGCAUUCAAAAGUGUCUCACUCAACUCACAGGUGUAUGGUGUGGAGUUUCUCUCUGUUGUUACAAUGUCACACAAAUUAAUUUUGCCUUUCAUUUAACCACAAUCAAACAUACUCACAAACAGGUUGUCAUCACAAGGACUUUUCUUGGCUUGUAACUUGGUUAGGCUAAGAAGGAAUUUGGUUUUUCUGGUCAGCAAAGUUCCUUGAGUCAAGAGAGACAUUUGUGAAUUCUUCUUUCAAGAAUAACUCUCUUAUCUUUUUCCCAGCCUUCCCUUGUAGUGAGCUCUUUCUUUUUCUUCUUUGAAUUUUUCUUUUCUCACAUUUUUCUUUUCUUUUGCCUUUUUCUGCUUUUCACUUCUUUCUCUUUUGAUUGCUCAUUGCCUUGAGAUGUGGUUUGUCUCCUGGUAACC